GAUUAGCCUAGUGAGCCGCGGCGCCGGCCCAUGGGCAGUGUUCUUGUUACCAGAGACAGCGUGAAACAGCCGGGGCCGGAGCCUUCCACCCUCCCCCUCCUGGGCAUUGCUGCCAGCUGUUCUGUGACGCUGGCCAAGUGACUUCUGCUUUCUUCACUGUCAUUGUCAAAUGCGAAAGCAUGUGGCCGGCACGUGGCUGUGACUACUGUAUUAAAGUGGCAUUAAUCUGAAAACUCACUCUCCUAACAAUCCGAUCCCAGGACAGAUGAUGCCUCAAGUGAUAGGGCACAGGAGCCUUUAAGCCCCUCCUGUCUACCAGGGCUUAGCGGACUGGGCAAAGACGGUGAGGUCACGGAGGGGAUGAACGAGACCACGCAGUUCUUCCUCCACAGGCGCGGGUUUCCUCCCACGGCUUCGCAUCCACAGGCCGGCCGGCCCCGACCCCCGCGCCAGCCGCACGCGCCCUGCCCGCCACGGCUCCCCGCGCAGGCGCAGAGCUGGACCAGGAAGCGAGUCCAAGUCUCGCGCGCUUCAACGCUCACUGCCCACCCGUGCAGGACCGGAUGGAGAAUUCCCAGCCGGUCAAGGAACGCAGCCGUUCCAAGGCUGCCGCCAGAGGGCGCGGGCGUCGCCAUGUUGGCUCGGAACUCCGUCGGCAACGUCAGCAGGCCGGCUCCGGAAACGAAGGGGCGUGCUGGGAUCAUGCUUCCCUGCCGCACGGAGUUAGGCGUGGCGGCCUUUGUCUAAUAAAACAUGAGUGGAGGUGACGUGCCUCCAUCUGGGUGGAGGCCCUGAAGAGCCAGAACAUGACUUUCUGUGCUCACACUCCCGUGACACGGUAGCACAUGUCUGCCAGGUGCUGAAGACUGGCUCCUGCGGCCCAGGUUCCCGAGUGAGGACGACAGGGAGCAAGGCAAAGCAUCAAGAACCCCGGAAUCUGUGGUGGCUGCUCAGACCUACACGCAAGGGCGUGCCAUCUGCACAGCGCUGUUGCCAUGCCACCAGCGUCUGUAGGCACUGAUGGGAUCCCUGGGAACGGUGCUGCCGCGGUAGGAAAAACCCAGCCUGGAUCAGCGCAUGGAGGAGAGCGUCCUGCUUCUGCUUCGUCUGAGCUACACUUCCUUUAGGAGGCCUGCUUGUUACGUAGCAGUCGGCAUUCCCUUGCUUAACUCGGUGCUGCAGUGUCACGUCUGCUCAUUGCUGCUUGCUAGACAAGUCUUCCGGGGAAAAUGGGAGUUCUUCAGGUAGAAAGGUGAGGACAAGGUGCAAGAGCAAUGAAUGCAUCCGUAGUUCAAUAAAUACUCACUGAGUCCCCAGGGUGGUCCAGGUCCUGUCCAGGCGCUAGCACUGUAACAGCAAAUCAGACAAGGUGCUUGCUGUCACGGAGCUGAAACUCCACAGGGAAGUGCGAGAUGUGUAAACCCAGAAACACACAGGAUCACUUCUGAGAGGGGGGUAGGGAGAAACGUCACUGCGACAGGCCGUGAGCUAACGAGGAACAGGGUGUGGGGAAGGUGGGCAGGGCUGGUGGUGGGUGCCCGGAAGUGCAUGGAUGGCUAGACAGGGAGGAGGAUCUACCAUUCUCUACGGCACCGCAGGCUGAUUACUGUGUAUUUCAUAAAGAACUGGAAGCGACCAAUUUGAUGUUUCCCACCACAAAGAUAUAAUAAAUGGUUGAAGAGUUGGAAAUGCUCUCCGCCCUGACUUGAUCGUGACACGCUGUGUUCAUGUGUUGGGUUAUCACACAGCACUCCGUAAAUAUGCACAGUUAGCAAGUGUUAGUGGAAAAUUAAAAAAUUAUUUUUUUAGAGUAACUGGAAAAUGGCAUUUGACAGGAGUAUCCAGGAGGGCUUCCCUGCCCUGUGGAUCGAGCUGAAACUGAGAUGGGGGAGGAGAAUCCAGCCAGGUGGCAUGCUUUGCCGAGGGUGGCAAGGAGAAGGGACUGUUCUGGACAGAGGAGCUAGAAGGGUGGAGGUCCCCAGGGAGGGAGCAGGAAGAGGGCCAGCGUGGUGGGAGGCGUGACGUGGGGGAGGGAGACCAGAAGGCAGGGCCAUUCCCCAUCCCACAUCCCUCAUCACACGUACCACUCUGAUACAACAUAGAUUUCCCUUAUUUACAUGCUUUAUUUUCUGUCUCUGCCUCAGGUUCCACAAGGCUGCUGCCAUUCUUUACUCACUUGGAAGGCCCGAAGAAGCCAGGAGCCACGAGCUGCUUCUGGGUCUCCCAUGUGGAUGCAGGGGCCCAAGGACUUGGACCUCCUUCUACUGCUUUCCCAGGCCAUGGCAGAGAGCUGGAUCGGAAGUGGAGCAGUCAGGACUCAAACCCGUGCCCAUAUGGGAUGCCAGCACUGCAGGUGGCAGCUUCACCAGCUAUGCCACAGUGCCGGCCUCUUUCCAUUUUUUAUUUAGCUUCCUGCUAAUACUCCCACCUCACGUGUUUCCACUCACUUCCUUGUUCAUUCGCCUCCAACCACAUUGGCCUCUUGGUUGUCCUUAAACAGGACACGUUGUUUCUGCAUAGUUUUGCCCUUCCUCUUCAUUCCACCUGUAACAUUUCUUGUUCAGGUGUUCUCAACAAGUUGGCUCCCUGUGUCACUAGGUCUCUGUUCAAAAGACCACCUGUGUCAAAUAUCACCUCUCUCCUAACCUUCCAUCACUGUUCAGAACACCGUUUUAUCAUCUGCAUUCCAAUGAUCACUUAUGGACUUGUUUUCAAAUUUGAAUAUUUUAUAGUUAAUAGUCUCCUGGUUAAAAGUUAAAGAUAGUAUAAAAAAUAGGCAGGGCCUGACAUCUUGGUGUAACAGGUUGAGCUACUGCUUGCAAUGCUGACAUCCCAUUUCAGAGUAGGUAUGUGAGUCCUAUCUACUCUGCUUCUGAUCCAGCUUCCGGCUACUAUGCCUGGGAAGAAGCAGAAAAUAGCUCAAAUACUUGGAUCCCUGCCACCCAUGUGCUCCCACGUGGUGUUCCUGGCUCCUGGCUACUGCCUGGCCCAGACUUGGUUUUUGCUGUCAUUUAGGGAGUGAACCAGCAGAUGGAAGAUUUCCCUCCGCCUCGUAUCACUCCACCUUUCAAACAGAUGAGCAUAAAUAAGUAAGCAUUAAAAACAAAGAGUGAUGGGGCUGGCACUAUGGUGUAGCGGGUAAAGCCGCCACCUAAGUGCCAGCAGCCCAUACGGGUGCCGGUUCGAGUCCUGGCUGCUCACCUCUGAUCCAGCUCUGCUAUGGCCUGGGAAAGCAGUAGAAGGUAGCCCAAGUCCUUGGGCCCCUGCACUUGUGUGGAGGACCAUUGCGGCCAUUUGGGGAGUGAACCAACAGAUGGAAGACCUCUCUCUCUCUCUCUGUGCCUCUGCCUUUCUGUAACUGUGCCUUCCAAAUAAAUAAAUCUUAAAACAACAACAACAACAACAAAGAGUGAGAGAGCUGACGCUGUGGCACAGUGGACUAGACCUCCGUCUGUGGCACCAGAAUCCCAUAUGGGCACGGUUCAUGUCCAGCGGCUCCUCUUCUGAUCCAGCUCUCUGAUAUGGCCUGUGUAAGCAAUAGCAAAUGGCCCAAGUGCUUGGGCCCCUGCACCCGUGCAGGAGACCUGGAAGCAGCUCCUGGCUCUUCACUUCAGAUCGGUGCAGUUCCAGCCAUUCCUGCUAUCUGGGGAGUGAACCAAUGGAUGCAGGACCUUUCUGUCUGUCUCUCCUUCUGUCUGUAACUGCCUCUCAAGUAAGUAAGUAAAACCUUAAAAAAUAAAAACAAAGAGGGAAAAUAGGAAAUCAAUAAAUAAAUUGUUGCAAUAAAUCCUGAUCAGAUCAAGUUGUGUUGGUGAAGUUAUUAAGAAGUGAUUAUGUUCUAGAUGUGUUUUGAAGGCUGUGGAUGAAGGAUACGAGAGAGGAGAGCUGAAUUAAUUUCCUAGGACUUCUGUAACAAUUUGUCAUAAAUUUGGUGGCUUUAAGCCGGCGCCGUGGCUCAAUAGGCUAAUCCUCCACCUUGCGGCGCCGGCACACCGGGUUCUAGUCCCGGUUGAGGCGCCGGAUUCUGUCCCGGUUGCCCCUCUUCCAGGCCAGCUCUCUGCUAUGGCCAGGGAGUGCAGUGGAGGAUGGCCCAGGUGCUUGGGCCCUGCACCCCAUGGGAGACCAGGAAAAAGCACCUGGCUCCUGGCUCCUGCCAGGAUCAGCGCGGUGCGCCGGCUGCAGCGGCGGCCAUUGGAGGGUGAACCAACGGCAAAAGGAAGACCUUUCUCUCUGUCUCUCUCUCUCACUGUCCACUCUGC